CGGGAAUCUUAGACAAUGGGCGCAAGCCUGAUCUAGCCAUGCCGCGUGUGUGAUGAAGGUCUUAGGAUCGUAAAGCACUUUCGCCAGGGAUGAUAAUGACAGUACCUGGUAAAGAAACCCCGGCUAAUUCCGUGCCAGCAGCCGCGGUAAUACGGAGGGGGUUAGCGUUGUUCGGAAUUACUGGGCGUAAAGCGUACGUAGGCGGAUUGGAAAUGUAGGGGGUGAAAUCCCAGGGCUCAACCCUGGAACUGCCUCCAAAACUAUCAGUCUAGAGUUCGAGAGAGGUGAGUGGAAUUCCAAGUGUAGAGGUGAAAUUCGUAGAUAUUUGGAGGAACACCAGUGGCGAAGGCGGCUCACUGGCUCGAUACUGACGCUGAGGUACGAAAGUGUGGGGU
rnacentral:rRNA from 1 species